UACGUAGGGGGCUAGCGUUGUCCGGAAUCAUUGGGCGUAAAGCGCGCGUAGGCGGCCAGAUAAGUCCGGUGUGAAAGUCACAGGCUCAACCUGUGAAUGCCGCUGGAAACUGUCUGGCUAGAGUCCGGAAGGGGCGAGUGGAAUUCCUGGUGUAGCGGUGAAAUGCGCAGAUAUCAGGAGGAACACCGGUGGCGAAGGCGGGGUCUCUGGGCAGUAACUGACGUGAGGAGCGAAAGCGUGGGGAGCGAACAGG
rnacentral:rRNA from 1 species